rnacentral:rRNA from 1 species
GUAGUCCACGCUGUAAACGUUGGGCGCUAGGUGUGGGGGCCUCUCCGGUUCUCUGUGCCGUAGCUAACGCAUUAAGCGCCCCGCCUGGGGAGUACGGCCGCAAGGCUAAAACUCAAAGGAAUUGACGGGGCCCGCACAAGCGGCGGAGCAUGCGGAUUAAUUCGAUGCGACGCGAAGAACCUUACCUGGGUUUGACAUCGCCGGAAAUCCUGCAGAGAUGUGGGGGUCCUUUUAGGGUCGGUGACAGGUGGUGCAUGGCUGUCGUCAGCUCGUGUCGUGAGAUGUUGGGUUAAG